UACGUAGGGUCCAAGCGUUAUCCGGAUUCACUGGGCGUAAAGCGUGCGCAGGCGGUUUUGUAAGCCAGAUGUGAAAUCCCCGGGCUCAACCUGGGAAUGGCAUUUGGGACUGCAAGGCUCGAGUGCGGCAGAGGAGACUGGAAUUCCUGGUGUAGCAGUGAAAUGCGUAGAUAUCAGGAGGAAUACCGAUGGCGAAGGCAGGUCUCUGGGCUGACACUGACGCUCAUGCACGAAAGCGUGGGGAGCAAACAGG
rnacentral:rRNA from 1 species